UAAUAUACGUAAGAGUAGUGCAACCACAUUUUAGGUGCGGCUGGCGGGGCGGCUAGCUUGAUUGUGACUUCGUAAGUGAGGGCUCACUUGACCGCGGUAAAAGAAACGACUUUUAUUUCGUUAAUCGCAGCAUUUAUGUUCGCAGAAUUGAAACGUUCACCAAACAAGUAUUUUGAAACACCUGGAUCAUUUUCGGAGUAACUGUUUACAGAUUCCAACAUGUCUCAGAGGAAACAACCCUACAGAUUUCUAAGGGAAGUUUUCUUUUUUUUCUGUUUUUCUGUUGUUUACUAACAGAAAAAAAGACUCACACAGGCUCACCUCUACACGGCUGUCGUCUCCUGUAACCCUGCAUGGUUCUAAGGUUCUUGUUUCUGUUGUUCUUGUAGUUAUUGUCCUCAGAAAAACGACUCACACAGGAUCACCUCUGCAGUGCUGCCGUCUCCUG
ensembl:lncRNA